UGGGGAAUUUUGGACAAUGGGCGCAAGCCUGAUCCAGCCAUUCCGCGUGCAGGAUGAAGGCCCUCGGGUUGUAAACUGCUUUUGUACGGAACGAAAAGGUGCUCUCUAAUACAGGGCGCUGAUGACGGUACCGUAAGAAUAAGCACCGGCUAACUACGUGCCAGCAGCCGCGGUAAUACGUAGGGUGCAAGCGUUAAUCGGAAUUACUGGGCGUAAAGCGUGCGCAGGCGGUGAUGUAAGACAGGUGUGAAAUCCCCGGGCUUAACCUGGGAACUGCAUUUGUGACUGCAUCGCUGGAGUGCGGCAGAGGGGGAUGGAAUUCCGCGUGUAGCAGUGAAAUGCGUAGAUAUGCGGAGGAACACCGAUGGCGAAGGCAAUCCCCUGGGCCUGCACUGACGCUCAUGCACGAAAGCGUGGGGAGCAAACA
rnacentral:rRNA from 1 species